rnacentral:rRNA from 1 species
UACAGAGACUGCAAGCGUUAUUCGGAUUCACUGGGCGUAAAGGGUGCGCAGGCGGCCGUGUGUGUGAGGCGUGAAAGCCUGGAGCUUAACUCCAGAAUUGCACCUCAAACUACACGGCUAGAGCAUUGGAGAGGGUAGCAGAAUUCACGGUGUAGCAGUGAAAUGCGUAGAUAUCGUGAGGAAUACCAGAGGCGAAGGCGGCUACCUGGACAAUUGCUGACGCUCAGGCACGAAAGCGUGGGGAGCAAACGGG